rnacentral:lncRNA from 1 species
CGCGGCUGCCCUCGGCGGGCCCGGCCCGCACAACGGAGGCUGUAUGCGAGAGGAAUGGAAAUGAGCCUCCGGCCCUCCCGAAGGAGCCCCAUCCCCAUCCCCUAGCAGUGCAGAGGAAUGCUGGCAAGCCGGAAAGGAACCCUCGCCGGGAACGCUGCUCUCGCGCCUCUGAAACCCCAUUGAGAAGAGCCCUUUGAUGCAAUUAAAGCGCAUUUCAUUGCAGGCCUGGGAGGAGGGAAGGACCGUCAAGCUUUUUUCUGUCUCUGAGCAUGUGUGUGCACCUUUGUGGGGCGGGUUACUUAGGGAGCAGGCGGGAACUUGAGCUCUCUCUCUCUUUCGCAGACGUUCUGUAACAUCAUAAAAGCAUACCCAUAAACAGAUUGGUUUUCACCGUGGGUGGAACCUAAUUUGGACGCGAUCCAGGCUGACCUGCAGGCCGGAGUUCCUGCUUUGAAAGGCUCCUUGGUAAGCCUCGCACCACCUGCCCUGCUGUGAAGGUUUAGGCGGGCAAGAAAUUGCGUUUGUUUUUGAGGUCACUGCUCCCCAUUUUCCAUUUUCUCAGAGAUGGAGUGGGCCAUGUAGCAGGUCCAGAAAUAGUCACAGUCUGAUCUGUAAAAUGAUGUAGCCUGCAAAUGUUGAAGGACUAGGAUGCGACAGCUAUUUCGAUAUUCAGAUUCUUCUCCAAGAUUUCCCUACUUCUUCCAUUGAGGCAAUUCUGUGGCCCCACAGAACUCAAUAGCCUCUCUGAACUUAAUAUUUUUCAUCUGUUAAAAUUAAUAUUAAAAAGGCCAGAGAGCCGAUAUCGUAAAGUUAAGGGUGCUUGUGUAAUUCCUUCUCAUUGGAGGCGGGCACCUUAUCUACCGCCACAUGUGAUAGAUGUAUGGGAUUGGAACUCAGGUAAAUAUCUGUAUAAAAAGAUCCUUUGGGUUCCUGU